rnacentral:sRNA from 1 species
UUAGUGAUAGACUAAGCAAAAAUUGUUAUUUGCUAUGAUGUAGAUGUCUUAAAAUGAUUAAGGGGGAUUUGCUUUGUUAAC